AUUCAGCUGAAGAGUCCUAAAUAGGAUGAAACUCACGUCAAACUGGAU
rnacentral:hammerhead_ribozyme from 1 species